rnacentral:rRNA from 1 species
UUUCCGGUUGAUCCUGCCGGAGGCCAUUGCUAUUGGGAUCCGAUUUAGCCAUGCUAGUCGCACGAGUUCAGACUCGUGGCGAAUAGCUCAGUAACACGUGGCCAAACUACCCUUCGGACCACAAUACCCUCGGGAAACUGAGGCUAAUAGUGUAUACCACAGUCCACCUGGAAUGAGGAUUGUGCCAAACGCUCCGGCGCCGAAGGAUGUGGCUGCGGCCGAUUAGGUAGACGGUGGGGUAACGGCCCACCGUGCCAAUAAUCGGUACGGGUCAUGAGAGUGAGAACCCGGAGACGGAAUCUGAGACAAGAUUCCGGGCCCUACGGGGCGCAGCAGGCGCGAAACCUUUACACUGCACGCCAGUGCGAUAAGGGAAUCCCAAGUGCGCAGGCAUAGAGCCUGCGCUUUUGUUCACCGUAGGGAGGUGAACGAAUAAGGGCUGGGCAAGACCGGUGCCAGCCGCCGCGGUAAUACCGGCAGCCCGAGUGAUGGCCGAUCUUAUUGGGCCUAAAGCGUCCGUAGCUGGCUGCGCAAGUCCAUCGGAAAAUCCACCCGCUCAACGGGUGGGCGUCCGGUGGAAACUGCGUGGCUUGGGACCGGAAGGCGCGACGGGUACGUCCGGGGUAGGAGUGAAAUCCCGUAAUCCUGGACGGACCGCCGAUGGCGAAAGCACGUCGCGAGGACGGAUCCGACAGUGAGGGACGAAAGCCAGGGUCUCGAACCGGAUUAGAUACCCGGGUAGUCCUGGCCGUAAACAAUGUCUGUUAGGUGUGGCUCCCACUACGAGUGGGUGCUGUGCCGUAGGGAAGCCGCUAAACAGACCGCCUGGGAAGUACGUCCGCAAGGAUGAAACUUAAAGGAAUUGGCGGGGGAGCACUACAACCGGAGGAGCCUGCGGUUUAAUUGGAUUCAACGCCGGAA